GAAAGCGUAAUAGCUCACUGGUCGAGUCGGCCUGCGCGGAAGAUGUAACGGGGCUAAACCAUGCACCGAAGCUGCGGCAGCGACACUAUGUGUUGUUGGGUAGGGGAGCGUUCUGUAAGCCUGUGAAGGUGGCCUGUGAGGGUUGCUGGAGGUAUCAGAAGUGCGAAUGCUGACAUAAGUAACGAUAAAGCGGGUGAAAAGCCCGCUCGCCGGAAGACCAAGGGUUCCUGUCCAACGUUAAUCGGGGCAGGGUGAGUCGACCCCUAAGGCGAGGCCGAAAGGCGUAGUCGAUGGGAAACAGGUUAAUAUUCCUGUACUUGGUGUUACUGCGAAGGGGGGACGGAGAAGGCUAUGUUGGCCGGGCGACGGUUGUCCCGGUUUAAGCGUGUAGGCUGGUUUUCCAGGCAAAUCCGGAAAACCAAGGCUGAGGCGUGAUGACGAGGCACUACGGUGCUGAAGCGACAAAUGCCCUGCUUCCAGGAAAAGCCUCUAAGCAUCAGGUAACAUCAAAUCGUACCCAAAACCGACACAGGUGGUCAGGUAGAGAAUACCAAGGCGCUUGAGAGAACUCGGGUGAAGGAACUAGGCAAAAUGGUGCCGUAACUUCGGGAGAAGGCACGCUGAUAUGUAGGUGAAGCGACUUGCUCGUGGAGCUGAAAUCAGUCGAAGAUACCAGCUGGCUGCAACUGUUUAUUAAAAACACAGCACUGUGCAAACACGAAAGUGGACGUAUACGGUGUGACGCCUGCCCGGUGCCGGAAGGUUAAUUGAUGGGGUUAGCGGUAACGCGAAGCUCUUGAUCGAAGCCCCGGUAAACGGCGGCCGUAACUAUAACGGUCCUAAGGUAGCGAAAUUCCUUGUCGGGUAAGUUCCGACCUGCACGAAUGGCGUAAUGAUGGCCAGGCUGUCUCCACCCGAGACUCAGUGAAAUUGAACUCGCUGUGAAGAUGCAGUGUACCCGCGGCAAGACGGAAAGACCCCGUGAACCUUUACUAUAGCUUGACACUGAACAUUGAGCCUUGAUGUGUAGGAUAGGUGGGAGGCUUUGAAGUGUGGACGCCAGUCUGCAUGGAGCCGACCUUGAAAUACCACCCUUUAAUGUUUGAUGUUCUAACGUUGGCCCGUAAUCCGGGUUGCGGACAGUGUCUGGUGGGUAGUUUGACUGGGGCGGUCUCCUCCUAAAGAGUAACGGAGGAGCACGAAGGUUGGCUAAUCCUGGUCGGACAUCAGGAGGUUAGUGCAAUGGCAUAAGCCAGCUUGACUGCGAGCGUGACGGCGCGAGCAGGUGCGAAAGCAGGUCAUAGUGAUCCGGUGGUUCUGAAUGGAAGGGCCAUCGCUCAACGGAUAAAAGGUACUCCGGGGAUAACAGGCUGAUACCGCCCAAGAGUUCAUAUCGACGGCGGUGUUUGGCACCUCGAUGUCGGCUCAUCACAUCCUGGGGCUGAAGUAGGUCCCAAGGGUAUGGCUGUUCGCCAUUUAAAGUGGUACGCGAGCUGGGUUUAGAACGUCGUGAGACAGUUCGGUCCCUAUCUGCCGUGGGCGCUGGAGAACUGAGGGGGGCUGCUCCUAGUACGAGAGGACCGGAGUGGACGCAUCACUGGUGUUCGGGUUGUCAUGCCAAUGGCACUGCCCGGUAGCUAAAUGCGGAAGAGAUAAGUGCUGAAAGCAUCUAAGCACGAAACUUGCCCCGAGAUGAGUUCUCCCUGACUCCUUGAGGGUCCUGAAGGAACGUUGAAGACGACGACGUUGAUAGGCCGGGUGUGUAAGCGCAGCGAUGCGUUGAGCUAACCGGUACUAAUGAACCGUGAGGCUUAACCUU
rnacentral:rRNA from 1 species